AACGAACGCUGGCGGCGUGCUUAACACAUGCAAGUCGAACGGGAUUAGGGGCUUGCUCCUAAUCUAGUGGCGCACGGGUGAGUAACGCGUGGAUAAUCUGCCUGAUGAUCUGGGAUAACAUUUCGAAAGGGGUGCUAAUACCGGAUAAGCCCACGAGGACUUCGGUUUUUGCGGGAAAAGAGGGGGACCUUCGGGCCUCUUGUCAUCAGAUGAGUCCGCGUACCAUUAGCUAGUUGGUGGGGUAAAGGCCUACCAAGGCGAUGAUGGUUAGCUGGUCUGAGAGGAUGAUCAGCCACACUGGAACUGAGACACGGUCCAGACUCCUACGGGAGGCAGCAGUGGGGAAUUUUGCGCAAUGGGGGAAACCCUGACGCAGCAACGCCGCGUGAGUGAUGAAGGCCUUCGGGUCGUAAAGCUCUGUCUAGAGGAAAGAAGUGUGGGGCGGCUAAUAACCGUUUCACUUGACGGUACCUCUGAAGGAAGCACCGGCUAACUCCGUGCCAGCAGUUGCGGUAAUACGGAGGGUGCGAGCGUUGUUCGGAAUUAUUGGGCGUAAAGCGCGUGUAGGCGGUUUCUUAAGUCUGAUGUGAAAGCCCCGGGUUUAACCUGGGAAGUGCAUUGGAUACUGGGAGACUUGAGUACGGGAGAGGGUAGUGGAAUUCCUAGUGUAGGAGUGAAAUCCGUAGAUAUUAGGAGGAACACCGGUGGCGAAGGCGGCUGCCUGGACCGAUACUGACGCUGAGACGCGAAAGCGUGGGUAGCAAACAGGAUUAGAUACCCUGGUAGUCCACGCCGUAAACGAUGAGUACUAGGUGUUGCGGGUAUUGACCCCUGCAGUGCCGCAGCUAACGCAUUAAGUACUCCGCCUGGGAAGUACGGUCGCAAGACUA
rnacentral:rRNA from 1 species